rnacentral:misc_RNA from 1 species
GAGAGCCAAGAGAUCCGUUGUUGAUAGUUAUAAUUGAGAUAAAAUGACGCUGUAAUAGAAUAGAAAUCCACAGAAAUAGAUAAAAUCAAUAAUGAUCCUU